GCGAGCGGGAGACCAGGGACCGCCCCUCGGGCCGGCCGCGCGCCCGCCCGGGAGGGGCAGGACCCGCUCUCCCCGCCCCGGGCCGCCUGCAGGGCGCGCCGCGUCCCGUCCGGUCCCGUCCCGUUCCGUCCCGUCGGGUCCCAGCCCCGCCAACUCUCACCCUGCCCGGCCCUUCCAGCGGAUCCACCUGCAGCCCCCGACCCCUGACUUGGUCCCCGAGGUCGGGGCUCGGUGGGAAGGAAAGCGAGGGGCUUCCCGGAAAGAAAGGGAGGAGGAGGCAGGAGAAGGCAGACGCCGAGAGAGGAGAAAAGGAGGCCAGAGGCAGAGGGAAAAGGAGGAGGGCAAGAGAAUCCUAGAGCGGGAAGAGCGUGGGCUCUACGGGACGUGGGCGAGAGGUUACCAGGGAAAGAAUGGACAUUGACGGCAGAGAGCGAGUUUAGCCUGGAGAGGAGGAAUUGAGUGAGCAAAGGGGGUAGUCUGGGGUGCGAUGCACAGAAAGGCCCGUCCAGGGUAACCUUCACGUCUCCGUAUCCGUUGCUGUCGACUUUCCAGAGCCUUUGUUCCCAGUGACGUCCCUAUUUCAAUGGAGGGACACACUUCACCUUCCCCAGCCCCCCACCUCGAGAAUUUCUCUCACCCUCCCACCCUGCGGGGCCGCAGAGCUUGCUCCUCACGGCAGGAGCUGGAGCCCUGACGCUUGCCUUCACCUAGUUUUUGUUUGGUUUGGUUUGGCGUUGAUGGGACAAAGUCAGCCAAACUACUUUGCCAUCAGCAGAGAAGGGUGCCACAAACACAGGUCAAGAGGAAGAGACCAUAACCAUAUGUCAUGAGAGGACUGUGACACAGAGAAUGGUGAUAUUUUGGCAGGGAAGUCAUUAGUGAAUGUUACUGAUCCUCCCCAAUUCCUCAUGCCUCUUCCAAAGGUACUGCCCAGUAGGAACAGGAGGCAGCAAAGACCUAACAAAAGUGGACCAUAUACAUAGUAGCAGCCAUCGGUGUCCAUAAGCCGUGAUAUCAAAGAGCUGGAGUUUUCCCACUUCUUUUCCGAGCACUGCCUGAACCAGAAACUCAGAUGUGACAUUACCAGUAAUGAGUGGUGAAGCUUCAAGAAAGCUUUCUGAACUUUCCUUUUCCAUCCAUUGUGCUAGAGAGAAAAUUGAAUUAUAUUUUCAAUCUCUCUAGAGAAAAUGUUACAAAAUUUUUCAUAUGAGGAGAUAAUCAAAGUGUACAACCCAAAAAUGUAGAAAACAAUUGUUACAGAGGUGAAAGGCAGUUAAUUAAUAACUUAUUUUUCUGGAUUUUGUGAUGUUUGUGCUAUUCGUGUGCUUUUUAAAAAACGUUGUAUUUUGCGAUUUCCUCAUUUUAAAUACUCAUUUUCAUAGCUAAUUUUGCAUUCAUAAUUUCAUGUUCUUUUUCUUAAACAAGGCCUACCCAUCUAGCUCUGGUCUGUCCAACACAAGCUGAUCUCUGGCUCCCAUUUGGGCUGUUACGUAUUGAAGGCUAACCUUUCUGGGACAGACGCAGAAGGCACAUCUCAUCUUUAUGAGGUCCAAGUUAAUUAAAUCAAUUGAUCAUAAAUGUAAAGAUUUAUAUCUGAACUCUCAAGUCUCUUUCAUUGAUCUGUGCCAAUUCCUGUGCCAAUAUCACACUUUCUCAAUUCCUGUGGCUUUAUAGUAAAUUUUGAAAUCAAAUGUGUAAGUCCAUCAGUGUCAGUCUUUUUAUUCAGAAUUAUUUUGGCUACUCUAUGUCUUCUGCAUUUCCCCAUAAAUUCUAGAAUCAGCAAGUCAAUUUCUAUAAAAAUUCCUAUUGGGAUUUUGAUAGAGAUUGAGUGGAAUCUGUAGAUCCAUUUGGAGAUAUUUGCCAUCUUGACCAUAUUUAGCUUUCAAUCAAUAAAUACAAAAUACAUCUCCAGGUAUUUAGAUAUCUUUUGAUAUCUCUCAGCAAUAUUUUAUAGUUUUCAGUGUACAGGCCUUACCCUUCUUUUGUAAAAUUUAUUUCUAAAAGUAUUAUACUUUUUUGAUGCUGUGAAUCAAUAAUUUUUUUCUUAAUUUUAUUUGUAGAAUAUUCAUAAGAAUAAAAUUUUCUUAAUUUUAUUUGUAGAAUGUUCAUUGCUGGUAUACAGAAAUAUAACUGUUUUUGCAUACCGAUCUUGUAUGCUACAACUUUGUAAAACUCAGUUAAUCUAUUUGCUUUUUUGUAGACUUCUGAUUCUCUACAUAAACAGUCAUGUCAUCUGCAAGUAAUGAGUUUUACUUCUUCAUUUCCCAUCCAGAUACCUUUCGUUUUCUUACCUUAUUGCAAUGGCUAUAAUCUCAAUGACAAUGUUAAAUAAAAAUAGUAAGAAUGAAUAUCCUUUUCCUAUUCUCAACCUCAGAAGCAAAGCACUCUGUUUUUCACCAUUAUAGAUGAUGUUAGCUUUGAGUUUUUUUAAGAUACCCUUUAUCAAUCAAGCUAAAGAAAUUUCUUUCUAGUUUGUUGAGAGUUUUUAUCAUGAAUGAGGAUUGGAUUUUGUCAAAAACAUUUCUAAAUCAUGUGGGUUUUUGUUUUAUUGUAUUAACAUAUUAAUCACUUUCAGAUAUUAAAUCAACCUUGCAUUCUAACGUGUUUUUUUCUUUUUCCUUUUUUUGGAGGCAGAGUCUCACUUUGUCACCCAUCCUGGAGUACAGUGGUGCAAUUUCAGCUCACUGCAAUCUCCGCCUCCUGGGUUCAAGCAAUUCUCCUGCCUCAGCCUCCUGAGUAGCUGGGAUUACAGGCGUGCUCCACCAUGCUUGGCUAAUUUUUGUAUUUUUAGUAGAGAUGAGAUUUCACCAUUUUGGCCUGGCUGGUCUUGAAUUCCUGACCUCAAGUGAUCCACCCACCUCAGCCUCCCAAAGUGCUAGGAUUACAGGCAUAAGCCACCACAUCCAGCUCCUAACAUGUGUUUUUAAUGGCUAUACCUAGUCUUUCCUCAUUUUUAUCCUACUAUAACUAAUUUUUAUGAGCAAAUACAGAGCUACAUCAACUGGGGAUCCUCCAAAAUUGACAGUAAGAAACAUGCUGUUGCAUUUGCAGGCAUGCCCAGGGUCCAGAUAAGUAUGCAUAAAUAUUGUGUUGCCAUAGUGAUUAAGGGCAUUCUUCCCAAGAUGAUUUGACAACAGCAAAUCUUUUAUAAGUACCUUCUCUAGAAGUAUUUGGCAAUGAUCCUACCACUUCUCUGAAUAUUCAGUAGAAGUACAGAUGAAGUAGGAUGGUCUAGUAAUUAAAAGUAUGAUCUCUGCAGACAGGCAGGCUCCCCAGUUCAAAUUCUGGCUCUAGCAUUUACUUGCUGUGUGACUGUGGCUAAGUUAAACUCUUUGAGCCUUAGAUUUCUCAUCUGUAAAAUCCCUCUUUGGUAAAAUGGGACAAUAAAAGCUACCCCAAAGGGUUAAUGGGAAGAUUGCCAGUAAAUGUAAGUAGAACAUACAAUUCAGUACGUGGCAUGCAGAGCUCAACAAACAGUAGCAAUUACGACUAAGACAGCUUCAACAAUCCCCUCAGCUUGACUAAACUUUAGACAGGUUUCUUUGUGAGCAUAGGCCCCUUUUCUUAGAUCAUUUACUUUAGAAAACUUGCAAUUAUAAUUUCUUUCUCUAUCCCUUUGUGAAGUAAAUCUUCUACAACCCAGGAGCAUCUUUCUCCAAAGCCUAAGAACCAUGCCUUUGAAAUGUAAUCACCAAGAAAAAUUGCACCUCUAUUUCUUUCUAUCUGUGGGAAAGGAGAAGCCUAACUUCAGUAGGUGCCAAUUAGCAAACACAGAUAGCCUGAUCCCAUUUACCGAUCUCACCUCUAGUGUCUUUCAGUACUUACUAACUCACCUCAAUGCUUAAAAUUCUCCUGUCUGUUUCAGUGUGAUUGAGUUCAAUUUCUCCUCCAUUGUGAUAGUCUUGAUCUCUUUUGCAAUAGUCUUGAAUAAAGUCUUCCUUGCCUAACUUGUCCAGUGUAACUUUUCUUACAUUAUAAUGGUUAUUAUACGGAGAAAGAAGCAUGGGUUCUCCUGGUUGUUUCAGCUGUAUAACUUUAGUCAAUAUCCACCGGAGAGAAUUUCAAUAAAAGAAAACUAUCUCUUUAUGGGUUAAAAGGGACGGGCAUGGGGGGCAAAGUAAGAAGCACUGUGGUUCAAUUAUAGUGUUCUCAUUUCUUCUGAAAUCCUCUAGUUGAGUAUUGUAAUCUAAAUGGAACAACUUAUCUCCCUAAAAGACUGAUUUUGAAAGACUAUUUUCCUUUCCCUGUUAACUGCUCCCAACCCAACAGCCAUCAUCAUUUUUAAAGGAAUUCUAAGGGCAAAGAAACUAAGAAUCUAAGAGAAUGUAAUACAAUUGAUGACCCAAAGAAAAGCAGCACAUAUUAAAUUGUGACUUAAAUGCUAUUCAAAACAUAAAA